rnacentral:rRNA from 1 species
UACGUAGGGUGCGAGCGUUGUCCGGAAUUAUUGGGCGUAAAGAGCUCGUAGGCGGCUUGUCGCGUCGGAUGUGAAAGCCCGGGGCUUAACUCCGGGUCUGCAUUCGAUACGGGCAGGCUAGAGUUCGGUAGGGGAGAUCGGAAUUCCUGGUGUAGCGGUGAAAUGCGCAGAUAUCAGGAGGAACACCGGUGGCGAAGGCGGAUCUCUGGGCCGAUACUGACGCUGAUGCGCGAAAGCGUGGGGAGCGAACCGG